AAUUAUUUCUAGAGGUUCUAGAGUCAGUUUUAUAUUUCUCUUUACAUUUUGAGACAGUGAAUUAAUAGACAAUAAAUAACUGCAAAGUAAAAAAUACAUUUUCUAAAUGUACUAAAAUUCCAAAAAGAGUUGCUAUCUGCACCAACGAUUAAAUUUUAAUGUGUAAAAAAGGAUAUUGAAGAAAUAUAUAUUUCACAGACGCUGGAAAGAUCACCCGAGGUUUAGAAGAAAUCGAAACUCGUUACAAACCGAAUACUUUUAAAACGAAAGUAAGGUUUUAAAAGAUAUUCAAUCUACGUAAGAGGAAAAAAACUCCCGACACUUAGACUGCUGUAGUAGAGGAAAUUUAAGCCAUUUCAACAUUUCUGCUGUCAUCGAUCAAGAAAUUGUGCAAUAAUAGUGUUUCUGCAAA